rnacentral:tRNA from 1 species
GGGCGUAUAGUUCAGUGGUAGAGUGUGUGCUUAGCAUGCACGAAGUCCUGGAUUCAAUCAUCAGUAACUCCA